rnacentral:rRNA from 1 species
GAGUUUGAUCUUGGCUCAGAUUGAGCGCUGGCGGCAUGCCUUACACAUGCAAGUCGAACGGCAGCACGGGAGCUUGCUCCUGGUGGCGAGUGGCGAACGGGUGAGUAAUGCAUCGGAACGUAUCCUGGAGUGGGGGAUAACGUAGCGAAAGUUACGCUAAUACCGCAUAUUCUGUGAGCAGGAAAGCGGGGGACCUUCGGGCCUCGCGCUCUUGGAGCGGCCGAUGUCGGAUUAGCUAGUUGGUGAGGUAAAGGCUCACCAAGGCGACGAUCCGUAGCAGGUCUGAGAGGAUGAUCUGCCACACUGGAACUGAGACACGGUCCAGACUCCUACGGAGGCAGCAGUGGGGAAUUUUGGACAAUGGGGGCAACCCUGAUCCAGCCAUGCCGCGUGAGUGAAGAAGGCC